UGGAGAGAUGUCCGAGCGGUUGAAGGAGCACGAUUGGAAGUCGUGUGUAUGUAAAAGUACCGUGGGUUCGAAUCCCACUCUCUCCGUAGU
rnacentral:tRNA from 2 species